rnacentral:rRNA from 1 species
CCUACGGGAGGCAGCAGUGAGGAAUAUUGGUCAAUGGGCGCGAGCCUGAACCAGCCAAGUCGCGUGAGGGAAGACGGUCCUAUGGAUUGUAAACCUCUUUUGUCGGGGAGCAAAAGACGCCACGCGUGGCGUUCCGAGAGUACCCGAAGAAAAAGCAUCGGCUAACUCCGUGCCAGCAGCCGCGGUAAUACGGAGGAUGCGAGCGUUAUCCGGAUUUAUUGGGUUAAAAGGGUGCGCAGGCGGAAGAUCAAGUCAGCGGGAAAAUUGAGAGGCUCAACCUCUUCGAGCCGUUGAAACUGGUUUUCUUGAGUGAGUGAGAAGUAUGCGGAAUGCGUGGUGUAGCGGUGAAAUGCAUAGAUAUCACGCAGAACUCCGAUUGCGAAGGCAGCAUACCGGCGCUCAACUGACGCUCAUGCACGAAAGUGUGGGUAUCGAACAGGAUUAGAUACCCUGGUAGUC